rnacentral:rRNA from 1 species
UGCGUCUUAAGCAUGCAAGUCAAACGGGAUGUAGUAAUACAUCUAGUGGCGAACGGGUGAGUAACGCGUGGAUGAUCUACCUAUGAGAUGGGGAUAACUACUAGAAAUAGUAGCUAAUACCGAAUAAGGUCAAUUAAUUUGUUAAUUGAUGAAAGGAAGCCUUUAAAGCUUCGCUUGUAGAUGAGUCUGCGUCUUAUUAGUUAGUUGGUGGGGUAAAUGCCUACCAAGGCGAUGAUAAGUAACCGGCCUGAGAGGGUGAACGGUCACACUGGAACUGAGAUACGGUCCAGACUCCUACGGGAGGCAGCAGCUAAGAAUCUUCCGCAAUGGGCGAAAGCCUGACGGAGCGACACUGCGUGAAUGAAGAAGGUCGAAAGAUUGUAAAAUUCUUUUAUAAAUGAGGAAUAAGCUUUGUAGGAAAUGACAAAG